GACGAACGCUGGCGGCGUGCUUAACACAUGCAAGUCGAACGGAAAGGCCCUGCUUUUGUGGGGUGCUCGAGUGGCGAACGGGUGAGUAACACGUGAGUAACCUGCCCUUGACUUUGGGAUAACUUCAGGAAACUGGGGCUAAUACCGGAUAGGAGCUCCUGCUGCAUGGUGGGGGUUGGAAAGUUUCGGCGGUUGGGGAUGGACUCGCGGCUUAUCAGCUUGUUGGUUGGGUAGUGGCUUACCAAGGCUUUGACGGGUAGCCGGGCUGAGAGGGUGACCGGCCACAUUAGGACUGAGCUGCGGCCCAGACUCCUACGGGACGCAGCAGUGGGGAAUAUUGCACAAUGGGCGGAAGCCAGAUGCAACAACGCCGCGUGCGGGAAGACGUCCUUCGGGUUGUAAACCGCUUUCGCCUGUGACGAAACGUGAGUGACGGUAAUGGGUAAAGAAGCACCGGCUAACUACGUG
rnacentral:rRNA from 1 species